AACAGUGUUGGGCAGUAGCGUCGCUACAAGUAGUGACGCUACUAGCUUAACUACAUUUCUCAGUAGCGUGGUGGUAGCGUCGCUGUUUUCUGAAUCAAAUAGCUUUUCAGUAGCUAAGCUCUUAUUUUGAUCAAGUAGUGCGGUAGCGUCAACAAAAGCUAAAAGCUAUAUAUUUUUCUAUACUUUAAGCUCAAAUCGGAAAUAUAACUGCUACGGAUCACUGAUCCUGGGUCAGUAAGCGACGUCACCGCCACUAAACCUCGUGACGCCAUUGGCUCAUUAAACUGUCAGUCAAACCGUAUUAAUCCUCCCGCCUCUCUCGUGAAUGAAGUGCGGCGCGCACUUUGAAGCAUCUCAGCGUGUUUGCAGACUUGAGCCCUCUUUCACCUCCUACCAGACCAUAACCUUGAGUCUCACGGUGCCUGAACAGUCUGUCAGGAUCAAACACAAGAGAGAGGAACUAUGAGCUCAGAUCUGAAAACAGAAUGUGGGGGCCAUCAGAUAAAGAAGAUGAAGAAGAGAAAACUACCAACUACCUCUCGUACUAAUUGGCUGUUUCAUCUGUGUGUUUUCAGUGCUGAUAAACAAAGUGUGUUUGCAGGUCACAGUAGUGGGUUUUAUCGGCGAUUCUG